GGGGACACCUGAGGGAGCAGCAUUCCAGGCAGAGGGCACAGCCCGUGCAAAGGCCCUGGGGCACGACUGUGCCUGGCGUGUUGGAGGAACAGCGAGGAGCCCGCGUGGCUGGAGCAGAGGGAGCGAGGGGGAGAGAGGGAGGAGGGAGGGCAGG